AGGAUAAACGCUGGCGGCGUGCCUAACACAUGCAAGUCGAACGUCCUGUCUCGCAAGAGGCAGGGAGUGGCGGACGGGUGAGUACCACGUGGGUCAUCUACCGUGAGGUGAGGAAUACCGGCGAGAAAUCGCCGACAAGACCGCAUAGGCUCGAUGCAAGUCGAGCAAAGCUCUUUCGAGAGAGGGAGCGCCACACGAGGAGCCUGCGCCCGAUUAGCUAGCUGGUGGAGUAACGGUUCACCAGGGCGACGAUCGGUAGCUGGUCUGAGAGGACGAUCAGCCACACUGGGAUUGAGAACGGCCCAGACUCCUACGGGGGCAGCAGUGAGGAAUUUUCGUCAAUGGGGGCAACCCUGAACGAGCAACGCCGCGUGCAGGAAGAAGGUUUUCGGAUCGUAAACUGCUUUUCUCGGGGAAGAGAACGGACGGUACCCGAGGAAUCAGCCCGGCUAACUACGUGCCAGCAGCCGC
rnacentral:rRNA from 1 species